CGUCGAACGCCAUCAAUCAAAUUUUCGAACAUAAUUAAUAAUAUCGCCACCAAGAGGACACCAACGUCACAUGUUCUUUCACCCACUGCAUUAAAAUGAAAUGACACAAACGUUUAAUUGUUUUUUAAAUUGCUUAUGAACGCAUGGACUCUUUUCGACCAACAGGCGGCGACUCAACUACAAAAUCGAGGACCCCAGAACUCCCCUUACCGCGAACACGUCGACGCGCGCCCGCCAUCUCAACGUGUGCGUCCACGUGUCGAUGCGGAAGGUGCUGGAUGGCGUGAGGACGCCGAGGGCUGGUGGGCCCCCAGAACACCUUCCUGGAAAACAUUGUCCGCAGGUCCAGCGGAACAUGGGAUGUCAAGUGUACGACUCCUGAAGCAGAAUGGCCAGGCAACUGAUGAUCUUUUCCGGCCCCUACCCUUGACCGCCGCGAGUGAGGAGAUGCCGUGCUCUUAUCUGCCGGCACCCGCUGUCCUGACUGCGGCGUAGGCGGCAAGCAUUAGCUGUUUUGCGUUUCCUUACUGUGCAUUUUUUUUUGGGAAGCGGGGUCACUUGCAUUGCUCCUCCACUGGCCUGCUGUGCCAAUGAAAGAGCCUACAAUUAUGUCAUUUUGUCAUAAACAGUGUCUACACGUUGCUUGCAUGCAGCAGAGUACAGAACAUCUUUUAGAAACGACACGAUGGAAACCGCCUUCAGACUGAAAUGAGACUUUUCGGGGACACCUUGUUUCUACGCCAAGCAACCUUCAAUGACACCAGAAGCCGAUGUGCAGAAAUCUUGGACGUUGAACAGAAAAGGAAAACAUUCACUGUAUUUGUGUGUUGAGCUGUUAAUAAUACUACUGAUAAUAAUACUGAUAAUGAUGUGCACAUGCAAGGUGCUCAAGUGGUUUUGACUUUGUUUGGCUUGUCGUGACCUCAACUGAAGAGGUCAUGGGGAUGGUUCACGAUCAGCUGACUCGAGAUGUAAUGCACCAAUGUGAAUGUUUGCUUUGCCAGUAGUUCCCAAUUGUUCUUAUCGUCUUGCUCUCGUGGGUUUGCUGUACAAUCCCCCAGGUCCCCCCAGGUCCCUCCAACCAUCCCCCCGUGCAUUCAUAAACACGAUAGGAUAAAUCAAGAAAUCAAGUUGGCCAAAUGGGGAAAUUUGUCGUUUGCAUAAGCAUGUUUAGUCUAAGCUGAUGCUUUCUGUGAGGGGCAUACUAAAUGAUAGCGCGUGCAGGAACAUGCUUGUUUCCGCUCACGGUCGAGCAUUGCCAAGCUCCACUGUCGUCGGGUGGUGUUUCUGCAUCCAGUGUGCGCUGCUGCCUUUUUGCCUUCAUGGCUUUUGUGGUGUUGUGCCAAGUAGAGCGACACACUCCAGUGGUGUGUGCAAUGUGCCGUUCAUUUCAAGUUUACUGUGUCUGGGCUCGCACUUUACAGACUCCUUGAUGGGGGAAAUGUGAGUGUACACGCGUUUAUGUCAAAUUAGGUGAAGAAUAUGACUUUUUAUUUGUGAUGAACUAUUAAAUAUGUAAUGUAAAAAUGCACGCCCAUCGAUGUGAUCCAUGGCUGUGGCGUUCCUGCUCCUGUGUCCGCUGGGCCAACGUGUUACCAUGGUAACCACGUUAUCCAUUUGAAGCUUAAAGCCAAAGCUUAAGUCUACUCAUGAACCACUUAUUGAUGAAGAUAAAAUGUUUGUGUACAAUGUGUAACUUUGAAAUUGUAUCAUCAACUUGUUCUGAACAUAUGAUUGCAACGUGUAUAUGGGUUUUAAAAAGAAAGCUCAUGUAUAUUUAAUUUUAGCAAUGAUUGUUUGAACGUAAUUUAAUGGGGUUAACAAUGAUUCCGCAAUGCUGGGUGUUUGCACGAGUGUGUGCGUGUUGCCAGUUUUUCCGUCAUGUCACAAAGAUAAGCUUUGGAAAUUAAAAUGACUUGAUGCUGUGAUAAAUGUGCGUCUGCUGCUGCUUCCAACGUGUCUCUCUUAAAAGUAAGUUUUAUUAAUACCUGCAUGUAAGUUUGUACGGUUUGUAUGAAAAUGCUUGCCGCCGCUUCUCCUUACAUACAUUGUGACCAACAAAGCUGACACAAUAUGAAGUUGUCAUUUCUCGUAAUUGUUGAUGAAUGAAAUGUUUAGAGUGAGGAGCUAUAAAGGUGUUCUGUCAUAAACUGACUCUGCCUGUUUUCCCAACACAACUC